UACGUAGGCAGCGAGCGUUGUUCGGAAUUACUGGGCGUAAAGAGUGUGUAGGCGGUGCUCCCAGUCUGUUGUGAAAUCUCCCGGCUUAACUGGGAGGGUGCAGCGGAAACUAGAGUGCUAGAGGGUGGGAGAGGUGAGCGGAAUUCCUGGUGUAGCGGUGAAAUGCGUAGAUAUCAAGUGGAACACCAGUGGCGAAGGCGAGUCCCUGGACAACACCUGACACUGAGGCACGAAAGCUAGGGGAGCAAACAGG
rnacentral:rRNA from 1 species